rnacentral:lncRNA from 1 species
UCAUCACAACAAUCAGAGAAAUGAAAUAUGACUUAAUAUGUCUUAUUAGCUGUAGUGAUUAUGUGUCUUACUGGCUGUAGUGGUUAUGUGUCUUAUUGGCUGUAGUGGUUAUGUGUCUUAUUGGCUGUAUUAUUUAUGCAUCUUACUGGCUGUAGUGGUUAUGUGUCUUAUUGGCUGUAGUGGUUAUGUGUCUUAUUGGCUGUAGUGGUUAUGUGUCUUAUUGGCUGUA